GAGAAGCCCCUGACUGCAGCCCGCAGACGGAGCCCACAUGGAGGGGGCGGGCACUCAGUCCACAUGGAGGGGGCUGGCACUCCGCCCACAUGGAGGGGGCGGGCACUCAGUCCACGUGGGGGGGGCGGCCACUCAGUUCACAUUGAGGACUGGUCAAACAGCAUUUCUGAUCCCGUUUCUGACCUGAAAUUAGCUGAAAUGUACCUGAAAUUACCUGGAAUUAGAGUGUGCCCGCCCGAGCGAGUGAUGCCUAAAACAUUCAAGCAAAACUGAAGAUCAGGAACUGGAACCUGGGAACCUGGAAGAUGAUGUUGUCCUGAAGGACACAAUUCAGGCAGCAGCAUGGUGCCAGUUAC